rnacentral:lncRNA from 1 species
CGAGGAUCGGGUGUCGGAUGAGGAGAAGGUACGCAUAGCCGCUAAAUUCAUCACCCAUGCACCCCCAGGGGAGUUCAAUGAAGUAUUCAAUGAUGUCCGGCUACUGCUUAAUAAUGACAAUCUUCUCAGGGAAGGGGCAGCACAGUAAGUACCUCUUAAACCCACUGUUGGGAGGACAGCUUGGUGACUAGAGUUUGACUAGCCUGUGCAAGGUACUCAGUGUGGGUUAGCACCGCAAACCAACAAUCACAUUUCAUGCCUCCUAGAGUAUUGCUCUAACAUCAGAUAAGCUGGUGACAGUAAACUGGUACCUUGAAAACCAAAUUUGAGACACUUGAAAAUAAAGCAGUUAGUCUCUGUGGGGUUUUGUUGUUGUUAUAUCUAUGACCAUGUAUUUGAGGGAUUCUUAAAAGAAUGUGUUUGUUUGUUUGUUUGUUUGUUUGUUUGUUUGUUUGCUUGUUUGUUAGUUACUCCAUGUCAACAGUGUUAGUUCAUAGUCCAUGGCCAUAUUGAUUCUAGACCCAGGUAAGAUAGACCAUCAUGAUGUCACAAACAUGUGACAGAUUUCUUACCUAAUGGCAAAUAAGCAGGCAGGGCUUCGGAUAAGAUACAGCCCAAGGACAUGCCCUAGUAACCUAUCUUUUCCACCUAGGCCUUUUUCCUUAAGUUUCUAGAACCUCCUCAAAUCAUUGCCAGCUGGGGACCAGACCUUCAAAACCAAGCCAAGGCAGUCAGUCUCUUUAGCUAUAGAAAACAGUUUUGAGAGCUGUUGCCUAGGAAAUAAUUACUAUCUUUUAUGGUAAUAGUUCAUAUCCAAACCAUAAGUCUUAUUUACUUUUGUUUCCUUCUCUCUCCUUUUUAAAUUUUAUUUUUA